CCCUUCCCUCUCUUCCUCUUCCUCAGAGCCAGGGGAAAGAAAACAGCAGUAAACAACUGUAUGGCUCUGUAUUCCACAGAAAUAAUAUUCUAUUGCGUAUGUUGUUAGAAACAGUGAUUUCAUUGGAUUUCUUCUUUGUUUUGUCGAAGUCAAUUAAGAACUAAUUCUUAUUUACAAUGACAACCUGUCCAGAGGUCAGACAACAGUUAAAUAGAACAACACACAGACAUCAGACAUUAAAAGAGAUCACCAUGACAGAUACACAAGACAUAUACAUGGCAACAGUGGUUUCAUUGGUUAGCAGUACUGCUAAAAACUCUGUGCACAUCUAUGGAGUCGAAUAGGUUUUGAUUUUGCAUUUAUUUGCAUAUGUUGAUAGAAUGAUAGAAAUCAUAGUGCUCGUCAGAUCUGUUGUUACUCAGACUUGUAGGAAAACCUCUGAGUUUGAGCACCUCGUUUUGUAGAUUUUGUAAUGUUAUUGAUCUUCAACCAGAUAUGAAGGAGAGGAGAAAACAUGAAGGGGAAAAAGGAAGGUGGGGAAAGAGGAAGGUGGAAGUCUCCGGGAUUGAACCCCUGCUACUAGGAUUACAUCCUGAUUCCAGAAUGCAGUGCUACCACUAGACCAAACUCAAACUAGUCWUGGAACAGAUAAAGUCAUUAUUUUACAGUUCAACCUGKCCAGAGGCCCACAUGAUGGAGAAGCAAGAAUAAACACUCAAAUGAUCAACCUGACAAGGCAGUCCCAGAACCCCUCUCUGGAGAGACCAACCCUCCUCCCAGCAUCACCCCUCUUCCUGGUCCAGUCCAGUGUGUAGACAACCCCUCAGGUGAUACUGGAGAGGUGGUCUACGACACGACACAUUUCCCAUCAGAGAUCAGCCUCCUGGUCCAGUCCAGUGUGUAGACAACCCCUCAGGUGAUCCUGGAGAGGUGUCUACGACACAGAACAUUUCCCAUCAGACAUCGGCUUCUGUGAAGUGUAAAGUGUGACGGUUCAUCCCCUAGAUCUAUCCGCUGCCGGUUGGGUGCCUCAGUCUCUGCACACUC